rnacentral:rRNA from 1 species
CUCUCGGGUGACGAGUGGCGGACGGGUGAGUAAUGUCUGGGAAACUGCCUCUCCUUUGACGUUAGCGGCGGACGGGUGAGUAACACGUGGAUAACCUACCUAUAAGACUGGGAUAACUUCGGGAAACCGGAGCUAAUACCGGAUAAGAUUUUGAACCGCAUGGUUCAAUAGUGAAAGACGGCCUUGCUGUCACUUAUAGAUGGAUCCGCGCCGUAUUAGCUAGUUGGUAAGGUAACGGCUUACCAAGGCAACGAUACGUAGCCGACCUGAGAGGGUGAUCGGCCACACUGGAACUGAGACACGGUCCAGACUCCUACGGGAGGCAGCAGUAGGGAAUCUUCCGCAAUGGGCGAAAGCCUGACGGAGCAACGCCGCGUGAGUGAUGAAGGUCUUCGGAUCGUAAAACUCUGUUAUCAGGGAAGAACAAACGUGUAAGUAACUGUGCACGUCUUGACGGUACCUGAUCAGAAAGCCACGGCUAACUACGUGCCAGCAGCCGCGGUAAUACGUAGGUGGCAAGCGUUAUCCGGAAUUAUUGGGCGUAAAGCGCGCGUAGGCGGUUUUUUAAGUCUGAUGUGAAAGCCCACGGCUCAACCGUGGAGGGUCAUUGGAAACUGGAAAACUUGAGUGCAGAAGAGGAAAGUGGAAUUCCAUGUGUAGCGGUGAAAUGCGCAGAGAUAUGGAGGAACACCAGUGGCGAAGGCGACUUUCUGGUCUGUAACUGACGCUGAUGUGCGAAAGCGUGGGGAUCAAACAGGAUUA